UACGUAGGGUGCAAGCGUUAAUCGGAAUUACUGGGCGUAAAGCGUGCGCAGGCGGUUUGAUAUAGACGUAUGUGAAAUCCCCGGGCUCAACCUGGGAAUUGCGAUGGAGACUGCAAGGCUAGAAUCUGGCAGAGGGGGGUAGAAUUCCACGUGUAGCAGUGAAAUGCGUAGAGAUGUGGAGGAACACCGAUGGCGAAGGCAGCCCCCUGGGUCAAGAUUGACGCUCAUGCACGAAAGCGUGGGGAGCAACAG
rnacentral:rRNA from 1 species